AGUCGACGAACUCUGGUAUUGAUUGGUGCUUGCAUCAUGAUUUACAUUUGAGUGAGUGGCGAACUGGUGAGUAACACGUGGGAAACCUGCCCAGAAGCGGGGGAUAACACCUGGAAACAGAUGCUAAUACCGCAUAACAACUUGGACCGCAUGGUCCGAGUUUGAAAGAUGGCUUCGGCUAUCACUUUUGGAUGGUCCCGCGGCGUAUUAGCUAGAUGGUGGGGUAACGGCUCACCAUGGCAAUGAUACGUAGCCGACCUGAGAGGGUAAUCGGCCACAUUGGGACUGAGACACGGCCCAAACUCCUACGGGAGGCAGCAGUAGGGAAUCUUCCACAAUGGACGAAAGUCUGAUGGAGCAACGCCGCGUGAGUGAAGAAGGGUUUCGGCUCGUAAAACUCUGUUGUUAAAGAAGAACAUAUCUGAGAGUAACUGUUCAGGUAUUGACGGUAUUUAACCAGAAAGCCACGGCUAACUACGUGCCAGCAGCCGCGGUAAUACGUAGGUGGCAAGCGUUGUCCGGAUUUAUUGGGCGUAAAGCGAGCGCAGGCGGUUUUUUAAGUCUGAUGUGAAAGCCUUCGGCUCAACCGAAGAAGUGCAUCGGAAACUGGGAAACUUGAGUGCAGAAGAGGACAGUGGAACUCCAUGUGUAGCGGUGAAAUGCGUAGAUAUAUGGAAGAACACCAGUGGCGAAGGC
rnacentral:rRNA from 1 species